GCUAAGUAGGCUAGACGAGACCCUAGAUUGGGGGACCUCUAGAAUACCGUGCAAUUAGACCCGCGAAAUGAUUACCGGCGGAACCAGAACCCAGAAUUCCAAACCCGAUAGGUUUGUGACACCAGGCACGAGAAUCCUAGAGAAACACGAAUCUAAGUCUAAGGCACCAAGUUCCACCCUAGGAAGAAUAAUAGGUCACCACAGUAACUGUAGGUAGCCCGUUAGAGUUGAGCAGUGAAGAUAGUGUCAUCAGAACCUCCACUUCCCUCUCUCCUCCGAUACCAUACCGUCGAGACAGAGCUCCGGUACGGUGAUCGUUGAGCUUUGCAGAUCCGGAUAGGGAAGUGUGACAGGUGCCCAGACCUAGUGGUGAUAGCUAAGGGGUCUUCUGAACAGGACUCCUGGGCCGUAGAAACCCGUCCCUGAGCGGGGGACGUGGAGCCACUUAGGAUGACUCAGUAGCUGACCGGCACAUAGGGGGUCGCACCCCGUUUUGUGGAUGUAUGGUCCCGUGUGAGGGUCGUCAGUUAACCUCCACAGAUGAUGUUCUCAGAGAGAGAGUCACGUAUUCAGAUCCAGCCAUACGAUCCCCUCAGAUUUGCUUAUGAGGUCGCGCCUCACCUCAGGACACUGAUCAUUUCACUGCA